ACCAAAUCCAUGGAGUAAUUCCAAAUAUAUCAAAUCUUCCUCAAAGUUAUGACCCGGGAAACUUAUUAGGCUCAUUGGUGGACUUGGGCUCGAAUAGGUUCCAGGGUCCAUUGCCAUGUAUGUUCUCCAACGCCAGUGUGUUAUAUCUUUCCAAUAAUUCAUUUUCUGGACCCUUAUCCGCGUUCUUAUGUUACAAAAUGCAUGAGCCUGGGCAUUUGAACAUUCUAGACCUUGGAGGAAAUCUUUUAUCCGGUGAAAUCCCAGAUUGUUGGACAAAAUGGAAAUGGCUGAGGGUUUUAAUUUUAGGAAACAACAAACUUAGUGGCAACAUUCCUUGGUCCAUUGGAACUUUAAGG
rnacentral:misc_RNA from 1 species